rnacentral:rRNA from 1 species
UACGGGGGGAGCAAGCGUUGUUCGGAUUUACUGGGCGUAAAGGGCGCGUAGGCGGCACCGCAAGUCGACUGUGAAAUCUCCGGGCUUAACCCGGAAAGGUCAGCCGAUACUGCGGGGCUAGAGUGCAGAAGGGGCAACUGGAAUUCUCGGUGUAGCGGUGAAAUGCGUAGAUAUCGAGAGGAACACCUGCGGCGAAGGCGGGUUGCUGGGCUGACACUGACGCUGAGGCGCGAAAGCUAGGGGAGCGAACAGG